rnacentral:rRNA from 1 species
UACGUAGGGGGCAAGCGUUGUCCGGAAUCAUUGGGCGUAAAGAGCGCGUAGGCGGCCCUGUAAGUCCGCUGUGAAAGUCAAGGGCUCAACCCUUGAAUGCCGGUGGAUACUGCAGGGCUAGAGUGCGGAAGGGGCUACUGGAAUUCUCGGUGUAGCGGUGAAAUGCGUAGAUAUCGAGAGGAACACCUGCGGCGAAGGCGGGAUAGCUGGGCCGACACUGACGCUGAUGCGCGAAAGCCAGGGAGGCGAACGGG